rnacentral:rRNA from 1 species
AUUCCUACGGGAGGCAGCAGUGGGGAAUUUUGGACAAUGGGCGCAAGCCUGAUCCAGCAAUGCCGCGUGCAGGAAGAAGGCCUUCGGGUUGUAAACUGCUUUUGUACGGAACGAAACGGUCUGGGUUAAUACCCUGGGCUAAUGACGGUACCGUAAGGAUAAGCACCGGCUAACUACGUGCCAGCAGCCGCGGUAAUAAU